CCUACGGGAGGCAGCAGUGGGGAAUAUUGGUCAAUGGGCGCAAGCCUGACCCAGCAACGCCGCGUGCAGGAAGAAGGCUCUCUGGUUGUAAACUUCUUUUCUCAGGGACGAAUAGAUGACGGUACCUGAGGAAUAAGCCACGGCUAACUACGUGCCAGCAGCCGCGGUAAUACGUAGGUGGCAAGCGUUAUCCGGAUUUACUGGGUGUAACGGGCGUGUUGGCGGGGACGCUAGUCAGAUGUGAAAACUAAGGGCUCAAACUGUGGCCUGCAGUUGAAACUGUGUUUCUUGAGUACUGGAGAGGCAGACGGAAUUCCUGGUGUAGCGGUGAAAUGCGUAGAUAUCAGGAAGAACGCCGAUGGCGAAGGCGGUCUACUGGACAGCAACUGACGCUGAGGCGCGAAAGCGUGGGGAGCAAACAGGAUUAGAUACCCUGGUAGUC
rnacentral:rRNA from 1 species